rnacentral:rRNA from 1 species
CCUACGGGCGGCAGCAGUGGGGAAUAUUGGACAAUGGAGGCAACUCUGAUCCAGCAAUUCUGUGUGCACGAAGAAGGUUUUCGGAUUGUAAAGUGCUUUCAGUAGGGAAGAAGAAAGUGACGGUACCUACAGAAGAAGCGACGGCUAAAUACGUGCCAGCAGCCGCGGUAAUACGUAUGUCGCAAGCGUUAUCCGGAAUUAUUGGGCUUAAAGGGCAUCUAGGCGGUUAAACAAGUCAGGGGUGAAAACUUGCAGCUCAACUGCAAGCUUGCCUUUGAAACUGAUUAACUAGAGUACUGGAAAGGUGGGUGGAACUACACGAGUAGAGGUGAAAUUCGUAGAUAUGUGGAGGAAUGCCGAUGAUGAAGAUAACUCACUGGACAGAAACUGACGCUGAAGUGCGAAAGCUAGGGGAGCAAACAGGAUUAGAUACCCGUGUAGUC